AAAUCGCGGCCUGUAACCAAUGAAGCAUCCACGAGAGCACCAAAAUUUCAACUCCCAAACGGAUAGUCAGAGUCAUCGAGCACAUCUCUCCCUCUCGAAACUAAAAAUGAGAAAAAGAUGAGGGUAAGAGGAGGCCUCCGGCAUCUGGCCGUCGUUGUGGCGGUUCUGAUCAUUAUUGGUGGUGGUGGUGGUCUUCCUAGAAGCUCUGGUGAUGGAAGAGAGUUAGACUACUCGAAGCUGUCGGGGAUAAUAAUUCCUGGCUUCGCGUCGACUCAGUUAAGAGCCUGGUCUGUUCUCGACUGCCCUUACUCUCCUCUUGACUUUAACCCUCUCGACCUCGUCUGGCUCGACACCACCAAACUUCUUUCUGCUGUAAAUUGUUGGCUUAAGUGUAUGAUGCUCGAUCCUUACAAUCAAACUGAUCAUCCUGAAUGCAAGUCACGGCCUGAUAGUGGUCUUUCAGCGAUUACAGAGCUAGAUCCUGGUUAUAUAACAGGUCCUCUUUCUUCUGUAUGGAAAGAAUGGAUUAAGUGGUGCGUCGAGUUUGGUAUUGAGGCUAAUGCAAUUAUUGCUGUUCCUUAUGAUUGGAGAUUAGCGCCAUCAAUGCUUGAGGAACGGGACCUUUACUUUCACAGGCUCAAGUUGACAUUUGAAACUGCUCUUAAACUUCGUGGUGCACCCUCAAUUGUAUUUGGCCAUUCUUUGGGUAACCAUGUCUUCCGCUACUUUCUAGAAUGGUUAAAGCUAGAAAUUGCCCCAAAGCAUUACAAUAAAUGGCUGGAUGAACACAUUCACAUCUAUUUUGCUGAGCUCCUCUUCUUGGUGCAACUGAGACAGUCAAAGCAACACUCUUUGGAAACACCUUUGGUCUUCCUGUUUCUGAGGUACCAGGGCACAGCUCGAUUGAUGUUCAAUUCUUUUGCUUCUUCAUUAUGGAUGAUACCAUCUUCAAAGUACUGUACAGCUCAAAAUCCAUACUGGAAACAUUUCUCUGGGGCAUCCAGGAAAAGUCGUCAGAUCUAUCAGUGUGAAGAAGAUGAAUUUCGUUUUAAUUACUCUGGAUGGCCAACAAAUAUAGUCAACAUUGAAAUUCCUUCUAUCCAUGCAUUUGAUGCCUAUCCAUCAGCUACAGAAGUAACUCAGACCAACUUGUCUAACCUGGAAUGUGGACUCCCUACUCAGUUAUCUUUUUCAGCUCGUGAAGUAUCAGAUGGAACCUUUUUCAAAGCAAUAGAGGACUAUGAUUCUGAUAGCAAGAGACUCUUGUACCAAUUACAGAAGUCAUAUCAUGGUGAUCCUGUUCUGAAUCCACUUACACCUUGGGACAGACCACCUAUUAAAAAUGUUUUCUGCAUCUAUGGAAUAGAUAUGAAGACUGAGGUUGGUUACUAUUUUGCACCAAGUGGCAAGCCUUACCCAGAUAAUUGGAUCAUAACAGAUGUCAUUUACGAGCUUGAAGGAUCUCUUAUCACAAGGUCAGGAAAUCUGGUUGAGGGGAAUCCUGGACCUGCAAGUGGGGAUGAAACAGUACCAUAUAAUUCUCUCUCUUUUUGCAAGAACUGGCUGGGACCCAGAGUUAACAUAACAAGAGCUCCUCAGUCAGAGCAUGAUGGAUCUGAUGUGCAAGUGGAAUUGAAUGUAGAGCAUCAGCAUGAAGCAGAUAUAGUUCCCAACAUGACAAGGUCUCCAAGGGUAAAAUACGUUACAUAUUAUGAAGAUUCUGAAAGUAUUCCAGGAAAGAGAACGGCAGUUUGGGAGAUUGAUAAAGCAAAUCACAGGAACAUUGUUAGGUCCCCUGUUCUAAUGCGAGAGUUGUGGCUUCAGAUAUGGCAUGAUAUUCACCCCAAUGCAAAAUCAAAAUUUGUUACAAAAGCUAAGCGUGGACCUUUGAGGGAUGAUGACUGCUAUUGGGACUAUGGAAAGGCUAGGUGUGCAUGGCCUGACUACUGUGAAUAUAGAUACCUUUUUGGGGAUGUUCACCUAGGACAGAGUUGUAGGUUGAAGAAUUCUACAGCUGACACGCUUUUGCAUUACCUGUAAAAUUAGAAGGUGCCAUCUGUCUUUUCCUCCAGCAAAACGAUUAUGCAUUGGAAAUUUUAUGUGAUGUUUCCAGCAUACGGUGUAUUCUAUCCUUUGCAAGUUCUUGCCAAUUGUGGCUCCAAUCGGUUUUGUACACUCUCCUGAAAGUUGGAAGUAAAAAGCUGUUUGGUCAUUUCAUAAUGCAUCAUGUGCAAACGAGAUGAUCUUGCACCUGGGAACGGUCAGGGGGGAUUCUAACUCAGAAUCAUGCACCUGUAAGGCAACUUGCAGCAUGUCUGCAUUUAUCAGUUAAAUGCUUGCAUCUGUACAACCUUUCCUAACUUGGGCAUAGCUAACCUUUCCUGGUAGCUUCAUGUAUGUGCACGAACAUAGAUCAGUUGAUGAGAUGCUUUAAUUAAGGACGGUAUUUUUCAAGCAGAAUUUUCUUGUUCAGAGAACAGAUUCUUAAUGUUCAGCAAUUGUGGGACCCUAGAAGUGGAUGCAUGGCAUGGUUUGCAAUGUAACUGGAAGAUUUUCUCAGUAGUUUGUAAAAACAAUGUUUGUUCAAUUGCCUUAAAUCCUUGGAAAGGCUAGGACAAAAAGAAAAGAGAAGGAUUGUUCUGUAAUUGUCAAACAAAUAAAGGAGUUAUGAGGUAAAAUUGGAAUUUUGAACCUUUGUAUUGAAAUCAUUAAGUAUUUUUUUGUAUAGAAUCAUUCUUUUAAA